rnacentral:lncRNA from 1 species
AGAAAGUUAGAUCAUAAGUUCUAAGGUGAGAGCAAUGACAACCAUAUAUAUCAUAUUAGUUCCUUGUUACAGAACUUUUUUAUAUUUUUCUGUUUUAGUAACUGGAAUUCCCUGGUAGCUCAGCUGGUAAAGAAUCCUGCCACAAUGCAGAAGACCCUGGUUUGAUUCCUGGGUCAGGAAGAUCCACUGGAGAAAGGACAAGCUACCAACUCCAGUGUUCUAGGUGUCCUAGAUUUAAAGAAGGAAGAUCAGAGGGAUGAUCGUCUGGAGGUGAUCACUGAUGAUGACAAAGAGGCUGAGGAAGCAGGGGAUGGCAGAGAUGGCUUCCAUGGCUCCCCAGGAACCAUCAGUGGAACAAGUUACUGGGAAUGUGUUGAGUCUCCUUAACUGGGGAGAGGACCCAAGGAUGUUACCAUUCAUGUUGAAGAGUGUUACCCCCGUGGAGAGCACAGACCUUAGAUACUGCUUUGAAGGAAUCCUAAGAUGCACAAUUUUUCAAAAUGCUGCAAGCUAG